UAAAGCUAAAUAUCGUUGGCUCUGUGAUAAAUUGCAUAUUAUGUUUCUAGAUUAUAUGCUGAUGGCCGUGCAGCAGAGGAGCGCAGAGUCUCCUGUCGGACAACAUCUCUAAGUCGCUAUGAACCAUGUGACUAGAUCCUAUGUACCCAGCCUCAACCAUUCAUCAGAAGGACUGUGAAAGCGGGAACUCUUUGAACCACCAGUGGCAGUUUCCACGGGAUGAAAAAGGGCAUAGUAGUGGAUGAUGAGGUCCUGAGACCAUAUGGGGUGAAGAUCAAGACGACCAAACCAAAGGUGGACUGUAACCUGCUGGACUAUAUGAUAGACUUCAUACUGACCACUACUGCCAUGUAUGCAGCAUGAAAAGUUUUUGAAAAGAGGGGC